AGUGAACGCUGGCGGUAGGCCUAACACAUGCAAGUCGAACGGCAGCACAGUAAGAGCUUGCUCUUACGGGUGGCGAGUGGCGGACGGGUGAGGAAUACAUCGGAAUCUACUUUUUCGUGGGGGAUAACGGAGGGAAACUUACGCUAAUACCGCAUACGACCUACGGGUGAGAGCAGGGGAUCUUCGGACCUUGCGCGAUUGAAUGAGCCGAUGUCGGAUUAGCUAGUUGGCGGGGUAAAGGCCCACCAAGGCGACGAUCCGUAGCUGGUCUGAGAGGAUGAUCAGCCACACUGGAACUGAGACACGGUCCAGACUCCUACGGGAGGCAGCAGUGGGGAAUAUUGGACAAUGGGCGCAAGCCUGAUCCAGCCAUACCGCGUGGGUGAAGAAGGCCUUCGGGUUGUAAAGCCCUUUUGUUGGGAAAGAAAAGCAGCAGGUUAAUACCCCGCUGUUCUGACGGUACCCAAAGAAUAAGCACCGGCUAACUUCGUG
rnacentral:rRNA from 1 species